AGUUUUCGCAGUCGACGAUCGGCGGAUAGCCGCACCCUUUAAUGUUCACCAGGAGCACUGCCUCCACGUCGCCUGGCGUCGGCACUGAACAAAACAACAUUUUAAAUGAGUCUCGUACAGCACUGUAUACACACUGAAAGUUUCAACGAACAACAAAAUUGAAGCGAAGACGGAUGGGGACACAGGAAGAAGCUUUAGCGGAAGUCUCGAAGGUGUGCUAGAUUUCUGUAGAGUUCUCUUCCACGCGCACGUAACUCUUUACACAUUCACAAUAAAACUGUGUAAACAUCUAAAGAUUCAACGUUUUAUACACAUAUAAUAUCCACCGAAAGUUCACAGAAUUGUAGCGAAGACAAAUGUGGACGCUACCGGAAGUGUUCAAGGUGCAUUAGAUCUUCAAGUUAAAGCAGGAAGAAAAUGGUAAUAUAAAAAAAUUUAGUGGAGCUCUUAAUACGUUGACUGUCAUACCGUCUCAUUUAUUAUUUUGCACCUAAUAGGUAUUUUCUAAUUAAGUAAGCGGAAAAUUUUCUAUUAAUACGGAUUAUAGAUCUCUAUGGAAAUUCAAACAUCAGCCAUAUAUGGGUGCACUUGUACAGUUCGCUUCCAGCAUGAUACGAGAAAAACAUGACAUUGCACCAGUGUAAAAUCCAGCAACAGCUGAUAGGGUUGUAAAGAGAAAUAGAGGUAGAAGAAGAAUCCUUACCGGAAGUGGUCGAGACGUCACUGGUGCAACCCUCGCGACAGGAACUCCAAGUGCAAUUAAACAGUCCGGCGACUUCCUCUCGUCUGGAGGUGGUGCAAACGAC